UCUGCCUCUCUCGUCGUCCAGGUCGUCCUGUCUCUUGCCAGACAGAUACUUCUCGAGCUCCAAAAGCCGCCGCCGCCGCCGCCGCCACAUGCCUGAAUCCCAAUCCCGGCUCCACUCCGGAGCUGCCGCGCCCACCUUGCCAGCAAGCUCCCGCACCUCCAGCGACUGGCGCCCCUGCAGUGAACCUUCUGCUCCAGCGCGGCAGCGCCUGGCAAGCUCUUCCACGCCAGCAUCGGCGGAGCUGAUACACGAGGCGGAGGCGAGAGGACUGGGAGAGCGUGCGUGUCGGUUGACGCUGCUCCUGCUCCUGUUCGAGCAAGGCGAAACAAAGAUGUGAAGAGAUUGAAAUCUAAAGUGCUAAAAAUUGUGGUGAAGACAUGGAGAUGGCCAUAUGUUGAACUAAAACAUACCUCUUAAGAUGGACGUCGUAACAUAACACGAUCAAUCGAGCCUUCUUUUGUUGGUGGUCGCACAGAUCGCCAUGGAAUGGAUCUAGAAGAAAGAACUGAUGGUGUGUAGCCUUCUUUCAUGAAUUGCCAUCAUCGAUGGUCAACUACCAGAACACGAAGGGGGUGGCCUUAUCCUGCUUAAUGACAACUGCUACCAAAUUAAAUAAAGAUGAUCAUGCCAAACAAGUUAUGUAAGAGCGUCCCAAUCCAAAGAUUGCACUAGAAAACAAAAAUUCAAUUUAGAUACCA